UACGUAGGGGGCAAGCGUUGUCCGGAUUUAUUGGGCGUAAAGAGCGUGUAGGCGGCCGUACAGGUCAGCUGUGAAAACUCGAGGCUCAACCUCGAGACGAUCGGUUGAAACCGUACGGCUAGAGUCCGGAAGAGGAGAGUGGAGUUCCCGGUGUAGCGGUAGAAAUGCGCAGAUAGUCGGGAAGAACACCCGUGGCGAAGGCGGCGCGCUGGACCACUACUGACGCUGAGGAACGAAAGCUAGGGGAGCAAACAGG
rnacentral:rRNA from 1 species